UUGAUCCUGGCUCAGAAUCAACGCUGGCGGCGUGCCUCAGACAUGCAAGUCGAACGCGAAAGGCCCCUUCGGGGGCCGAGUGGAGUGGCGCACGGGUGAUUAACACGUGGAUAAUUUGCCUUCGGGUGGGGAAUAACAACCGGAAACGGUUGCUAAUACCGCAUAAUGCAGCGGCAUCUAUGAUGACAGUUGUUAAAGCUGGGGAUUCUUCGGAACCUCGCGCCUGAAGAGAAGUCCGCGGCAGAUUAGUUAGUUGGUAGGGUAAUGGCCUACCAAGGCGACGAUCUGUAGCCGGCCUGUGAGGGCGGUCGGCCACACUGACACUGACAUACGGGUCAGACUCCUACGGUAGGCAGCAGUCGGGAAUUUUGGGCAAUGGGCGAAAGCCUGACCCAGCAAUGCCGCGUGAAGGAUGAAGUUUUUCGGAAUGUAAACUUCACAAGAAUGGGUAGAAUAAGAGGGGGUUAAUACCCCUCUCGAUGACGGUACCAUUUGUAAGUUCCGGCUAACUCCGUGCCAGCAGCCGCGGUAAUAAGGU
rnacentral:rRNA from 1 species